ACGGAAGGCAGCAGUGGGGAAUAUUGCACAAUGGGCGCAAGCCUGAUGCAGUGAUGCCGCGUGAGGGAAGAAGGUUUUCGGAUUGUAAACCUCAGUCAACAGGGACGAAAAUGACGGUACCUGUGAAGGAAGCUCCGGCUAACUACGUGCCAGCAGCCGCGGUAAUCCGUAGGGAGCAAGCGUUAUCCGGAAUUACUGGGUGUAAAGGGAGUGUAGGCGGGACUGUAAGUCAGAUGUGAAAUAUGCCGGCUCAACUGGCAGACUGCAUUUGAAACUGCGGUUCUUGAGUGAAGUAGAGGUAAGCGGAAUUCCUAGUGUAGCGGUUAAAUGCGUAGAUAUUAGGAGGAACAUCAGUGGCGAAGGCGGCUUACUGGGCUUUAACUGACGCUGAGGCUCGAAAGCGUGGUGAGCAAACAGGAUUAGAUACCCUGGUA
rnacentral:rRNA from 1 species